rnacentral:rRNA from 1 species
CGGGUGAGUAACGCGUGGGUAACCUGCCUCACACAGGGGAUAACAGUUAGAAAUGACUGCUAAUACCGCAUAAGCGCACGGUCUCGCAUGGGACAGUGUGAAAAACUCCGGUGGUGUGAGAUGGACCCGCGUCUGAUUAGCUAGUUGGUGGGGUAACGGCCUACCAAGGCGACGAUCAGUAGCCGACCUGAGAGGGUGACCGGCCACAUUGGGACUGAGACACGGCCCAA